AUGCUUCUACUUUCUGUAUGGAGCUGGGAGCGUCUGCCUGUUGGACGCCCGAAGAGCGUCAGGUUUAAUCCUUGGUAUGAAGAUGAAGAUGACGACUUACGGCGCCCCACUUGGGCUUACAAGUGGGAUGUGGUUUCCGAGAUGACGAACGAUGUCAAUCUCAUGUACCAAAAGUACAUUGCCGAGUUGGACACGAUUACGCCUAAGCAGGUAACGAGGUCAUUACUUCAGUCAUUUCUCAUGCUUGCCUGA
rnacentral:rRNA from 1 species